rnacentral:rRNA from 1 species
AGUGGCGAACGGGUGAGUAACACGUGGGCAACCUGCCCAAAAGAGGGGGAUAACACUUGGAAACAGGUGCUAAUACCGCAUAACCAUAGUUACCGCAUGGUAACUAUGUAAAAGGUGGCUAUGCUACCGCUUUUGGAUGGGCCCGCGACGCAUUAGCUAGUUGGUGGGGUAAAGGCUUACCAAGGCAAUGAUGCGUAGCCGAACUGAGAGGUUGAUCGGCCACAUUGGGACUGAGACACGGCCCAAACUCCUACGGGAGGCAGCAGUAGGGAAUCUUCCACAAUGGGCGAAAGCCUGAUGGAGCAACGCCGCGUGGGUGAAGAAGGGUUUCGGCUCGUAAAGCUCUGUUGUUGGAGAAGAACGUGCGUGAGAGCAACUGUUCACGCAGUGACGGUAUCCAACCAGAAAGUCACGGCUAACUACGUGCCAGCAGCCGCGGUAAUACGUAGGUGGCAAGCGUUAUCCGGAUUUAUUGGGCGUAAAGCGAGCGCAGGCGGUUGCUUAGGUCUGAUGUGAAAGCCUUCGGCUUAACCGAAGAAGUGCAUCGGAAACCGGGCGACUUGAGUGCAGAAGAGGACAGUGGAACUCCAUGUGUAGCGGUGGAAUGCGUAGAUAUAUGGAAGAACACCAGUGGCGAAGGCGGCUGUCUGGUCUGCAACUGACGCUNANGCUCGAAGCAUGGGUAGCGAACAGGAUUAGAUACCUGNUA